AUUGAACGCUGGCGGCAGGCCUAACACAUGCAAGUCGAGCGGAGCGGCGGACGCGUGAGUAAUGCCUAGGAAUCUGCCAGGUAGUGGGGGAUGACGUCCGGAAACGGGCGCUAAUACCGCAUACUAUCAGAUGAGCCUAGGUCGGAUUAGCUAGUUGGUGGGGUAAAGGCCUACCAAGGCGACGAUCAGUACCUGGUCUGAGAGGAUGAUCAGUCACACUGGAACUGAGACACGGUCCAGACUCCUACGGGAGGCAGCAGUGGGGAAGAUGGGACAAUGGGCGAAAGCCUGAUCCAGCCAUGCCGCGUGUGUGAAGAAGGGCUUCGGGUUGUAAAGCACUUUAAGUUGGGAGGCGUUACCAGCAGAAGAAGCACCGGCUAACUUCGUGCCAGCAGCCGCGGUAAUUC
rnacentral:rRNA from 1 species